rnacentral:lncRNA from 1 species
CCAUCACACUUUUUAAGUGAACCCAGCUAACCAAGGUCUUCUUAAGCAAAAUUAAAUUUAAUAAGGGGUUGUUUCAACUGUGUAGUGCCUGUCAUUCCAAGCAGAAGCAGUUGCUGAUUGCUGUGCUAUAACGGAAAUAUAUGUCACAGUACUUAAUUUUGUAGGAAUACAAGAUACCUUGCAGCCUUUUGUAAUCCGGCCUUGCUGACAACAAUCAAAUAG